GUUAGCUCAGUUGGUUAGAGCACGCGGCUGUUAACCGCGGUGUCAUAGGUUCGAGUCCUAUACUUCCCGCCA
rnacentral:tRNA from 1 species